AUUGAACGCUGGCGGCAGGCCUAACACAUGCAAGUCGAACGGUAACAUGAAGAAGCUUGCUUCUUUGCUGACGAGUGGCGGACGGGUGAGUAAUGUCUGGGAAACUGCCUGAUGGAGGGGGAUAACUACUGGAAACGGUAGCUAAUACCGCAUAACGUCGCAAGACCAAAGAGGGGGACCUUCGGGCCUCUUGCCAUCGGAUGUGCCCAGAUGGGAUUAGCUAGUAGGUGGGGUAACGGCUCACCUAGGCGACGAUCCCUAGCUGGUCUGAGAGGAUGACCAGCCACACUGGAACUGAGACACGGUCCAGACUCCUACGGGAGGCAGCAGUGGGGAAUAUUGCACAAUGGGCGCAAGCCUGAUGCAGCCAUGCCGCGUGUAUGAAGAAGGCCUUCGGGUUGUAAAGUACUUUCAGCGGGGAGGAAGGGAGUAAAGUUAAUACCUUUGCUCAUUGACGUUACCCGCAGAAGAAGCACCGGCUAACUCCGUG
rnacentral:rRNA from 1 species